UACGAAGGGGGCUAGCGUUGCUCGGAAUGACUGGGCGUAAAGGGCGCGUAGGCGGCUCAUACAGUCAGGCGUGAAAUUCCUGGGCUCAACCUGGGGACUGCGCUUGAGACGUGUGGGCUUGAGUGGGGAAGAGGGUCGUGGAAUUCCCAGUGUAGAGGUGAAAUUCGUAGAUAUUAGGAGGAACACCGGUGGCGAAGGCGGCUAUCUGGGUGAACACUGACGCUGUUGCACGAAAGCGUGGGGAGCAAACAGG
rnacentral:rRNA from 1 species